rnacentral:rRNA from 1 species
UUGCUGGCGACCGGCGCACGGGUGAGUAACACGUAUCCAACCUGCCCUUUACUCGGGGAUAGCCUUUCGAAAGAAAGAUUAAUACCCGAUAGCAUAAUGAUUCCGCAUGGUUUCAUUAUUAAAGGAUUCCGGUAAAGGAUGGGGAUGCGUUCCAUUAGGUUGUUGGUGAGGUAACGGCCCACCAAGCCUUCGAUGGAUAGGGGUUCUGAGAGGAAGGUCCCCCACAUUGGAACUGAGACACGGUCCAAACUCCUACGGGAGGCAGCAGUGAGGAAUAUUGGUCAAUGGGCGUUAGCCUGAACCAGCCAAGUAGCGUGAAGGAUGAAGGCUCUAUGGGUCGUAAACUUCUUUUAUAUAAGAAUAAAGUGCAGUAUGUAUACUGUUUUGUAUGUAUUAUAUGAAUAAGGAUCGGCUAACUCCGUGCCAGCAGCCGCGGUAAUACGGAGGAUCCGAGCGUUAUCCGGAUUUAUUGGGUUUAAAGGGAGCGUAGGUGGACUGGUAAGUCAGUUGUGAAAGUUUGCGGCUCAACCGUAAAAUUGCAGUUGAUACUGUCAGUCUUGAGUACAGUAGAGGUGGGCGGAAUUCGUGGUGUAGCGGUGAAAUGCUUAGAUAUCACGA